rnacentral:lncRNA from 1 species
UUUGUGUUUCCCCAGGAAAAGAACUACAGCCUGUGUGGGUCCCCUCCCGACAAUUAAAAUUGCACCAUAACUCCAAAGAUGAAACGCUCCCAGAAAGAAAAGGCAAAGACCCAUCGGAAACAAAAGAGCAACUUUCACCGCCUGAUACAUACACUUCAUGACAUCCACAUUGAGACAAAAUCUCGCCGUGUGACCUACAACACCUCUCGUUCAACCCCACCUACUUGGGGUCGAAUACAGAUUUUAUCUCAUCAAACAGAAAAAUUCUUAACAGAAAAAGGAAUCCCAAAAAUGACUGGUAAUAUAAUUCUGGCUGCCUUUAUGGUAGUCAGUGCAGCGUCUGCAGAUGCCUCUAAGGAGUCCGAAACCAAGUCCGAAGUCAACAACAAGCAAUGAUGGCGAUGGCGAUUCUAGUUAAUAAAAAGGGGGGAGAUGUGGGCGGCAAGCCACCCAGGCA